UUGAACGCUGGCGGCAGGCCUCACACAUGCAAGUCGAGCGGAUGAAGGGAGCUUGCUCCUGGAUUCAGCGGCGGACGGGUGAGUAAUGCCUAGGAAUCUGCCUGGUAGUGGGGGAUAACGUCCGGAAACGGGCGCUAAUACCGCAUACGUCCUGAGGGGGAAAGUGGGGGAUCUUCGGACCUCACGCUAUCAGAUGAGCCUAGGUCGGAUUAGCUAGUUGGUGGGGUAAAGGCCUACCAAGGCGACGAUCCGUAACUGGUCUGAGAGGAUGAUCAGUCACACUGGAACUGAGACACGGUCCAGACUCCUACGGGAGGCAGCAGUGGGGAAUAUUGGACAAUGGGCGAAAGCCUGAUCCAGCCAUGCCGCGUGUGUGAAGAAGGUCUUCGGAUUGUAAGGCACUUUAAGUUGGGAGGAAGGGCAGUAAGUUAAUACCUUGCUGUUUUGACGUUACCAACAGAAUAAGCACCGGCUAACUUCGUG
rnacentral:rRNA from 1 species